GAUGAACGCUGGCGGCGUGCCUAAUACAUGCAAGUCGAGCGAACGGACGAGAAGCUUGCUUCUCUGAUGUUAGCGGCGGACGGGUGAGUAACACGUGGAUAACCUACCUAUAAGACUGGGAUAACUUCGGGAAACCGUAGCUAAUACCGGAUAAUAUUUUGAACUGCAUGGUUCAAAAGUGAAAGACGGUCUUGCUGUCACUUAUAGAUGGAUCCGCGCUGCAUUAGCUAGUUGGUAAGGUAACUGCUUACCAAGGCAACGAUGCAUAGCCGACCUGAGAGGGUGGUCGGACACACUGGAACUGAGACACGGUCCAGACUCCGACGGGAGGCAGCAGUAGGGAAUCUUCCGCAAUGGGCGAAAGCCUGACGGAGCAACGCCGCGUGAGUGAUGAAGGUCUUCGGAUCGUAAAACUAUGUUAUUAGGGAAGAACAUAUGUGUAAGUAACUGUGCACAUCUUGACGGUACCUAAUCAGAAAGCCACGGCUAACUACGUG
rnacentral:rRNA from 1 species